UGGGGAAUAUUGGACAAUGGGCGAAAGCCUGAUCCAGCCAUGCCGCGUGUGUGAAGAAGGUCUUCGGAUUGUAAAGCACUUUAAGUUGGGAGGAAGGGCAGUAAGCGAAUACCUUGCUGUUUUGACGUUACCGACAGAAUAAGAACCGGCUAACUCUGUGCCAGCAGCCGCGGUAAUACAGAGGGUGCAAGCGUUAAUCGGAAUUACUGGGCGUAAAGCGCGCGUAGGUGGUUCGUUAAGUUGAAUGUGAAAGCCCCGGGCUCAACCUGGGAACUGCGUCCAAGACUGGCGUGCUAGAGUAGUGCAGAGGGUGGUGGAAUUUCCUGUGUAGCGGUGAAAUGCGUAGAUAUAGGAAGGAACACCAGUGGCGAAGGCGACCACCUGGGCUCAUACUGACACUGAGGUGCGAAAGCGUGGGGAGCAAACAGG
rnacentral:rRNA from 1 species